ACUGGGACUGAGACACGGCCCAGACUCCUACGGGAGGCAGCAGUGGGGAAUUUUCCGCAAUGGGCGCAAGCCUGACGGAGCAAUACCGCGUGAGGGAGGAAGGCCUUUGGGUUGUAAACCUCUUUUCUUAAGGAAGAAGAUCUGACGGUACUUAAGGAAUCAGCAUCGGCUAACUCCGUGCCAGCAGCCGCGGUAAUACGGAGGAUGCAAGCGUUAUCCGGAAUUAUUGGGCGUAAAGCGUCCGCAGGCGGCAUUAUAAGUCUGCUGUCAAAGACCGCAGCUCAACUGCGGAAAGGCAGUGGAAACUGUAAAGCUAGAGUACGGUAGGGGUAGAGGGAAUUCCCAGUGUAGCGGUGAAAUGCGUAGAUAUUGGGAAGAACACCAGUGGCGAAAGCGCUCUACUGGGCCGUAACUGACGCUCAGGGACGAAAGCUAGGGGAGCGAAAGGGAUUAGAUACCCCUGUAGUCCUAGCUGUAAACGAUGGAUACUAGGCGUAGCUUGUAUCGACCCGAGCUGUGCCGAAGCUAACGCGUUAAGUAUCCCGCCUGGGGAGUACGCACGCAAGUGUGAAACUCAAAGGAAUUGACGGGGGCCCGCACAAGCGGUGGAGUAUGUGGUUUAAUUCGAUGCAACGCGAAGAACCUUACCAGGGCUUGACAUGUCGCGAAUCUAGGGGAAACUUUAGAGUGCCUUCGGGAACGCGAACAC
rnacentral:rRNA from 1 species